rnacentral:lncRNA from 1 species
AUGCCACGAUGGGUGCAGCACCCCAGGAAGGCUGCAGCACCACAGGAAGGCUGCAGCACCCUGGGGAAAGUGCAAUUACACGACGGAUGCAGCACCCUGGGGAAGGUGCAGCACCCCGGGAAGGGCGCAAAGGAUGCAGCACCCAGGAAGGGUGCCAAGGGGCAAUGGGUGCAGUGCUGCAGGAAAGGGGGUGCAGCACCCUGUGAGGGAGCAGUGCCGUGGGAAGGAAGGAAGGACGGACACGACACAGCAGGAAGGGUGCAGCACCCCAGGAGGGACGCAAGGCUGCCAUGGGGGCAGCACCACGUGCAAGGGUGCGAUGGGGUGAUGGGUGCAAGGCUGCCACGGGGGGGGACACUGCCACGGCUGCAAUGCUGCAAUGGGUGCAAUGCUGUGAUGGGUGGGUGCAAUGCUGACAUGGGUGGGUGCAACGCUGAGAUGGGUGCAACACUGUCAUGGAAGCCAUGCUGCAACGGGUGCAAAGCUGCAAUGGGUGUAAGGCUGCAAUGGGUGCAACGCUGCCAUGGGUGCAACGGGUGCAAUGGAUGCAACGCUGCCAUGGAUGCAAUGGGUGCAAGGCUGCAAUGGAUGCAAUGGGUGCAAGGCUGCAAUGGAUGCAACUCUGCCAGCAGUGAAAUGGGUGCAAGACUGCAAAGGAUGCAAUGCUGCUAUGGCUGCAGCGCUGCAACAGAUGCAACGGAUCUGCAAGGGGUGCAAGGCUGCAAUGGAUGCACCUCUGCCAUGGGUGCAACACUGCCAUGGGUGCAAGGCUGCAACGGAUGCAACGCUGCCAUGAGUGCAAGGCUGCAAUGGAUGCAAUGCUGUGAUGGGUGCAACGCUGCCAUGGAUGCAAUGGGUGCAGUGCUGCAAUGGGAGCAAGGCUGCAAAGGAUGCAAUGCUGCUGUGGCUGCAGUGCUGCAACAGAUGCAACGCUGCCAUGGGGGCAACGGGUGCAAUGGAUGCACCUCUGCCAUGGGUUCAACACUGCCAUGGCUGCAACGGGAUGCAACGCUGUGA